CGGGGUGUAGCUCAGCCUGGUAGAGCGCUCGCUUUGGGAGCGAGAGGUUUCGUCGGUUCGAAUCCGACCACCCCGA
rnacentral:tRNA from 1 species